UGCUCAAAUAGCUCAGUUGGUAGAGCAGUGGAUUGAAAAUCCUCGAGUCAUCAGUUCAAAUCUGAUUUUGGGCAU
rnacentral:tRNA from 1 species